rnacentral:tRNA from 1 species
GAGGGUAUGGCUCAGUGGUAGAGCACUUGCCUACCAUGCAUAAGGGCCUCAGCUUUGUCCUCA